UUUCUCAGGCUGUCUUCACAGAAGAGGUGCCCCAGCUCUCUGAUCAACUUCAUGGCCUUCCUGCUCUGCUAGAGCAGGUCCACAUCCUUGUGCUGGGGGCCCCAGAUCUGUAUGUAGUACUCCAAGUGAGGCCUCACAAGAUGCAGAGCAGAGGGGGACAAUCCCCUUCUUCAACCUGCUGGCCUCUCUGUUGAUGCAGUGACAUGAGAUGCCUGACUGCCAUUGAAGAAUGGCAAGACACAAAGUAUUUGUUGAGCACCUCAGCCUCCUCCACAUCUAUUGUUACCAUUACUCCUUUCUAAUUUAUCUGAAGGGGUACAGUCUCCUUGGCCUUUCUUUUUUGACCCAUGUAACUACAGAAUUCUUUCCUGUUAUUCUUUGAAUCCAUCAUCAAUUUCUCAUUCACUAUUCCUAAAGCAUGUGGUAGUUCUCUCUUUAGAAGUUGAGAGCACUGACUUUGCUCUUUGCCAGGUAUAUAUUCCUUGAGAUCAAAUAUUCAACCAGGGGGUAGGUGCUGCAGCCCAGACAGCCACCAGUCUUAAACUCUUUCAUGACUUUAUUUGCACUGGUGAGCACUGCGUCCAGUAACACUUCUCCUCUGAUCGGUUUGUGAAUUUCUGGCCCAGUAAGCUAUCCUCAACACACUCCAGGAGUUUUCUGGAUUGCUUGCAGCCUGCUACGCUGCUUUCCCAGCAGACAUCCAGGUGUCUGAAAUCCCCCAUCAGGAUGAGAGUGUGUGAGCAUCGUGCUUCUUGUAGCUGAAGCAGGAAGGCCUCAGCAACAGGGUUCCCUUGAUCAGGCAGCCUGUAAUAUACCCCAACCAUACAGAGUCCUUUUUGGUCCAGUCCUUAACUUUUACUCCGAGGCUGUCAACCUGUUUGUGGUUGUUUCUGAGGUAGCUCUUUGCAAUGUAUCCACUCCUUAACAUAGGGGGAAACAUCCUUAUCUCUCCUUUCCUCUCUGUUAUGAAAAGCUUGUAGCCCUCAAUUACAGUGCUGCAGUUGUGUGAUUUGUCCCACCACACUUCUGUGAUACCAAUUAGGUCAUGGUUUUGUGAGCAUGCUGUGGUUUCCAACUCCUGCUCAUUUUCCAUUAUACGUGCAUUGGUAUAGAGACACUUCAGCUGAGUUAAUGGCUGCAUCACCUUUUUAGAGGAGCCCUCCCUAAUUUCUCUGAGACAAUUCACAGGUAUUUUCUUGUUGCUUAGUAAAGUGUCAAUGUUUCUUGGUUCUUCUCUGUCCCUCAGAAGUGACAGAGAAGUGACAAACAUGAAAAGUAUCAGAACAUACUACCAUGUUGUAUGGUGGUAAUGAGAUAUUUUUAUAUUUUCCAUCUAAACAGGAGAAUUCUAAAUUUUGUUCCAUUUAAAUUCUUUCCAUCUCACAUUUUUAUGAACUCUUUCCUUUAUGCCAUGCCACAUGCCAGUGACUCAAAACUUGUCCAAAUAAGUAAGCAGUUCCCCUACAUGCACACAUGCUUAUACAAACACGCACUGCUUUGCCCCUUGAGGUGAAAGACCUUGACAACUGGCAGAGACAAAAAACAGUGUAAAGAUUUACAAAUCAGAAUGGGAAUACAUUCCUGGCUAUUGCACAGCUUAGCGUUGAGCACCAGCUAGUGUAUUUAGGUAUGAAUUGCACUUACUUAUGAAUGACAAAUCUAGUAACCUGACUAGUAAGAAUGGUUGAGAUACUGUUUUACUGGAGUCUUGGUGAAUUUUGAAGUGAGAUUCAUCACAAUCAACGGUGCAUGUUUGUAACUUAGUCCAAUUUGUGCAAAACCAAACAGCAGUAGCCAAGAUCUGUCAAAAUUUUAACAAAUUCAUAGAAUCUUCCUGCAGCUAUAGUAAAUCACAGAAUAGUAGCAUGACUUGGGUUGGAAGGGACCUUAAAGAUGAUCUAGUUCCAGCCUCCCUGCCACAGGUUGACACCUCCUACUAGACCAGGUUGCUCAAAGCCUCAUCCAACCUGAUCCUGAACACCUUUUGGGAUGGGGCAUCUACAGCUUCUCUGGGCAACCUGUCUCAACAACUUCUGAGUAAAGAACUUCCCCCUAAAAUAAAAUCUAAACCACAUCUCCCUUAGAUUAAAACCAUUCCCUUUUGUCUUAUCACUAGCUGCCUAUGAAAAAAGUCACUCUCCAUCUUUUUUGUAAGCCCCCUUUAAAUGUACAGAUGUAAGCUGGAGAGGCUGCAGCUAUUCUUCCUCGUGCAUCCCAAGCAGUGUGUAGAAAGGGAAAAUACCCUACACCCAAACAGCCACCACUUUUUCCCAGCACAGAAGGUCUCAACUGACUUGAAGUACCGAAGAUUUUAUACUGGCUCUAGGAACUCUAAGACUUAACUUGAGGCUGAGGCUGACAGUAGAAGCCAACUCCUGUGCUGCUGUUGUCAUGCUGAGUUCAGAAAAAAACAAUUUCCCUGUAACUGACAAGUGUUGACAUUACUAUCUUCCUUAUCGUUGUCACUAAUUGUAUUAGCAAACCAGCCGCUCAUUAAUCAUUUGUAGGCAGCCCAUGAUUCAGCUGGGUGGGCGAAUCACUUGCUUUGUGAAAGCAGCCAGCUGUGAUCUUAGUCAUGGCAAACGCUAAGAAAGGUCACACAGCACUUGUGAUAAGACGGAGAGAAUAAUUGUCUACAGUACAAGGUGAUUCAGCCAUGUCCAGAAUGAACUCCCUGCAUUAGAGGACAUCUUCUUUGUUUACUAAUACCAUCAUUCAUCAUGAUAAAAAUCCAGAACAGUGGGAUAUGCUAUCUCAAAAUCCUAUAAACCAACUCAGAGGUGAAAAUGAAGAAAGUUGUACAAAGUUGAAGAAUGGAAGGAAGAGGAGCUGUUUGUGAACUUCAAUGAAUAAUAAUCUAAAGUAUUCAAUAAACACAUGUUCUAGUAGCAGGAAGAGGGAUCUCUAUUUAAAUAAUAUUUUCCUACAUUUUUCAUUACAGAAAUACCUGAUAUGUAUCCAGUAAUGCAAAAUAAAUAAAUAAAUAAACAAACAAAUAAAUA